rnacentral:lncRNA from 1 species
UCCAUUUAAUUCCUCAUGACAAUGCUACGAGGUAGACAUUGUAUUUAUCCUUUCUAUGAAUGAAGGAGAUUAACUCAAGAGAUGAGAUCAAGAGAUUAAGCAAUUCGAAGACACACGCUUGUGAGCGGUCAGGACAGAAUUCAAAUCUAGGCAGUACACCUUACAUCCCGUGCUUUCUCUUAAGUGCUGCUGGUUGCACUAGUCGUAUCAGAGAGAUUUUUCCUUGUCUUUGCUCCCAAAGAGCAUCAACUCAUGGAGCAGGAAUGUCCUUGUUUAUUUUUGUAUCCCCAGAACCUACUGAAGUGCCUGGCCCCAGAUAGAUACUUAAUAAAUAUAUGAUGAUUGAAGAAGUGUUUGGAACAAUAGCAUAUAAGGAAGAUCAAGGAAUCUCCUAGUGUAAUUGAAUUGUAUGGUCGGAAGAAACCUUAGAGUCUAUGCAGGCCUGAGGAUGUUUAUCCUGGAGAAAAGAUUUAGAGAGAGUAUAAAAAGUGUCUUCAAAAUAUUUGAGGAUCUGCCCGGUGGAGGAAGGGAGACACAUUUCCUGGUGCUUCCAAGCGAUGAGCCUCAGCAGCCUUCUGGAAAAGGAGAUGGGAGAGAAUGCGUAUAGCUGGAAAAAAAGUGUAGAGCAAAUGACAAAAAGCAAAACUCAGCAAAUCUUCAGUCUGCUGGGACUAAGUAGAUGACAGAGUGAAAAAGGCUUGGCUAGGCAAGGUGGAAAAACUGACUUACAGGAAGGCUGAUGUUAGCUGACAAUAAGGAAGAACUUCUCCACCCUCCAGGGAAGGUGCAGCGAGCCACUUCCCGCUUGCUUUUGGGCGGAGUCCGAUAUUGGGUUGUGGGAUUGGACUGAAGUUCUCUAAGUCUCUUCAAGUUCUAAGAGCUCCAUCUGUCUGUCUUCUCUGUUCAAUCUCUUUCCCCUGCCUUGGCUUCUCCCUCCAGAGUCAUUUGGUCCCUAAAGAAACAGACCCCUUGUCUCCGGGCCCCUGAGCCCUUCCCAAGCUCAUACAAAAUGGCCACCGGCAACGGGCGCUGUGGCGUUCUGGCCGGCUCUCCCUUCUCACCAGAGGCUCUUACUAUCCCAACCUCCCCCAGCUGCUGGUAGUGUUGGAAGCUGAUGGCUCACGGCUGAGUCUCUCUCUGGAAAUUGCCCUCAACAGAAGGAAGCUGCCUUACCCAAGGUUUCAGCCCUUCCCAGGGGCGGCCUCAAUCAA